AUAGCCUCAGUGAUGUAGAGAAAAUGAAAUAGAGAGAGAGAGAGAGAGUGUGUGUGUGUGUGUGUGUGUGUGUCCCCAUGGAGGCAAGGAGGGGCAGGAAGCAGAGGAGCUCAGGAAAACUUCCCCGAGAAAGUGAUGGUUGUGCACAGAACUGAAGAUGUGAGCGAGAAAUGGGUGGGAAGGAGGAGAGUGGAGAGGUUGGAGCUGUGGCAGCCCAGGCAGGGGAAGCUGAAUUAGAGCAGGUACGGAGGGAGGCAGAGGAUGUAAGGCCCAGGAGGGGAGGAGAGGGAGGCUCAGGUGUAGAGCCUGGAGGCCCAGCAGGGCUUGACCCUGGCUGGAGAGACCUCUGCAGAGUGUCUAAUGGAUGUCGCAUGAUCUGCCCUGAGCUUUCACACUCUGGCUGCUGACUUAGGAUGAGCGUGGACAAGGAGGACAGGUUCUUGGGAAGCCACUCAGAGUGGCGAGCCACAGUGACCCGUGGGGGUGAUGAGGAGUUGCUGGAGCAGGUCGUUUUUGAAGGUCCACAUACAGACAGGAUGUGCGAGAGACAGGAGUUUGGAGAGAUUCAAGAUUUGAGGUUUGAGAAACUGGGAAGAUAGGGUUGCCCUCCACUGCAAUGGGGAGGAUCAGAGAGGAGUCCGCUGCCGGCAGGACUGAGAACAAGGGGCUAAUUCAGGACAGGCUGCUGGGCAUCCUACUGACACUCAGGAAAUGUCCAGGAGAUGGUCAGAUGUAGGUGUCUGCCGUGGAGAGAAGACCCUGAUGGACGCACGGAUAAACUGAAUCUCACUGAAGAAUGGCUUUUUCAGCCUCCAGUGGACGACGUUGCCACAGACGGGUCAGCUGAAAGCCAGCAGGUGUGACCUGCAGUGUCCAAGUGCACGUGAUUGGGUCAAACAGGGGUGACUGCAUGCCACAGGCUACAGACGGGCAGGCAAGAUGAGCUCUCAAAGUGAUGAUGGGGUUCCAUUGUGGGGACCUGGGUG
rnacentral:lncRNA from 1 species